CAAGGCUGAAACUUAAAGGAAUUGGCGGAAGGGCACCACAAGGCGUGGAGCUUGCGGCUUAAUUUGACUCAACGCAGGAAAACUUACCAGGUCCGUACGUAGGGAGGAUUGACAGAUUGAUAGCUCUUUCUUGAUUCUGCGAGAGGUGGUGCAUGGCCGUUUUUAGCUCGUGAGUUGACUUGUCUGGUUAAUUCCGGUAACGAGCGAGACCUCAGCCUCUAGAGAGACAUCUGUGCCUGUGCUAUAGUGGCUAUGAAUCCUUGGAGUAGAUCAGAAGAGGCAUACCCAGGACUAGAGAACCUAGAGAACUCCAUCAUGAUCCCAACGCAUUGAUACCACCACCCCAGUGAAUCAAUGGAGUAGCUCAGAGGGGACACUCAAUGGUACUAUAAGAACUAGAGUAUUCUUUCUCAUCCCCACGCAUUGAUCUCACCACAACCACAGGACCCGUAAUACAUUAUGUUACGCACAGGAGAUUCUUCUCUUGCACGUGUAACAUAACUGCACUUCCUCCUAGAGGGACACUUGGUGGUAAACCAAGGGAAGCAUGAGGCUAUAGCAGGUCUGUGAUGCCCUUAGAUGUCCUGGGCUGCACGCGCGCUACAAUGGUGCACACAACGUUGGUUGUCUGACCGAGAGGACUGACACGCUCGUAAAGUGCAUCGUGCUGGGGAUGGAUCAUUGUAAUUGUUGGUCUUGAACGAGGAAUGCCUAGUAAGCGCGAGUCAUCAGCUCGUGCUGAUUACGUCCCUGCCCUUUGUACACACCGCCCGUCGCUCCUGCCAAUGGAUAGGGUGACAAGAAGUGGAGCACGACCGUGUACGAUACAGCGUCCUUCGUCGCUGUACACAUGCGUCUACGCCCACUUCGAGCCAAAUUAUCUAAAGGAAGGAGAAGUCGUAACAAGGUUUCCGUAGG
rnacentral:rRNA from 1 species